GAUGAAGAACGUAGCGAAAUGCGAUAAGUAAUGUGAAUUGCAGAAUUCAGUGAAUCAUCGAAUCUUUGAACGCACCUUGCACCCUUUGGCUAUUCCGAAGGGUAUGCCUGUUUGAGUAUCAUGAACACCUCAACUCUCAUGGUUUGCCAUGAUGAGCUUGGACUUUGGGGGUCUUGCUGGCCUGUGGUCAGCUCCUCUCAAAUGGAUUAGCUUGCCAGUGUUUGGUGGCAUCACAGGUGUGAUAACUAUCUAUGCUUGUGGUUUUCCACCAGGUAACCUUCAGCAAUGGGGGUUCGCUGGGGCUCAUAAAUGUCUCUCCUCAGCGAGGACAGCUCUUUGAACGUUUGAUCUCAAAUCAGGUAGGACUACCCGCUGAACUUAAGCAUAUCAAUAAGCGGAGGA
rnacentral:misc_RNA from 1 species